rnacentral:lncRNA from 1 species
CCGGGAGUUAAGCAGCAAAGGCAGAAGUGGCAGUAUGGAAGGCUAGACAUCAACACUAUCCAACUAGCCAAAUGCUGCUCGAUUUGAAUUUGGGCAGUAACUCUCUCUUUUGUUCUCACUGACCAUUUUGGCCAAACCUGAGUCUGAAGUGGACCUGAAUUUCAUGUGUGUUCAAAAACUUGCAGUGUAGUGUGUGAUUCCUGGCCACUUACAUUUGUAUUUCUCUUCAAGGUGCCCCUUACAGAGAGACAGUAGUCCAAUCUUCAUGGACAGGACACGGAUCUUCCCACUGCGUCCGCUGCCAAGACGGGUACAAUAAAUCAGUCAGCGUAAGGGCACAGGUAUGUUUAUGCACACAGAACGAGAUAGUGAGUAGGAGUGACAGAAAAUCAUUGUGAAUAUGGAAUGAUGGAUCACCCAUAUGUACGUGUAAAAAUAGCAGCAAAGCCCAGUGAAUAGGUCUUUAAUUAGAAAUUCAAUAUCAGGAAAUGACUAAUUAUUUGUAUUUUUUCCCUGUAAUCAAACAAUAGAUCAUUGUCCUAUUAUUAAAACCAACAAGCGUAUACUUUCUAAUCUCCUAAACAGACAUGCCAGACAUGGUGGUACAUACGUGUCGUAAACAUUGAGGAGCCAGUUGAGGCACAUGUCCACACACAGCGGGACAUUGACCAGGUCCUUGUGCUCCUGCUCCAGCCCGUCGUAGAUGGAGGUCAGGCAGUUAAUCACGUCCGGCACCGUCAUCAGGUGGUUGUUGUUGGUCAGUUUGUGCUGCGCAAAGGUGUUCUGAGCUACCGUCAAGUCCAGCAGGUCCAGCAGCUUCUUCCCAUCCUUCAGGUCUGAAAACAUGUCUUUGAUUGCCGUCUUUCCAGUCUGAGGAACGUAAACGUUAUAUUUUGACAUACUUUUGACAUGCAUUAUAUACAGUAUGUGGUAGAAUUACCUUUGAAAGCUGUGCGUUGAUCCAUUUGGUGAAGGUUUUCUUUUGUACCGAAUCAUGUUCAUCUGUGCACAACAAAUUAGACGUUAGAUGCGAGUUAGAGUUAACAGGUGCGUGAAUAGCAUUUCAGAUGCAAAGUAAAAAGAAAAGGAUUAUUUUUCUUUGACAACAAAA